AAGUCGUAACAAGGUUUCCGUAGGUGAACCUGCAGGAUCAUUAACACGUCUCCAACGUUAAAACAACCCCGUGCUUUCAGCUUGCUCCUGUAGCCCGUGAAAGCAGCAAUCCCUGGUAAAUCAUUGUUGACCAGCUUGUGAUAUUUUAUAGCUACGGUUAGCGAUUGCAUCUAGUGACCUGGCAUCCCCAAGUAAUCAGUGUUCUGAAAGUGUCAUUGAUUAUGAGGAUGGCGCAGUCCACACGGCCGGCGACCGGGUCGGGCUCUGCCCCUUUACGACAACUACAGUCUAACUUCGCCGCGCGUGAAAUUCGCACGGCACCAAAAACCGAACAACUGUUAACAAUGGAUAUCUUGGUUCUC
rnacentral:misc_RNA from 1 species